rnacentral:rRNA from 1 species
CCCUUAGAUGUUCUGGGCCGCACGCGUGCUACACUGAUGCAUUCAACGAGUUUUACCUUGGCCGAGAGGCCUGGGCAAUCUUUUAAACCUGCAUCGUGAUAGGGAUAGAUUAUUGCAAUUAUUAAUCUUGAACGAGGAAUUCCUAGUAAACGCAGAUCAUCAAUCUGCAUUGAUUACGUCCCUGCCCUUUGUACACACCGCCCGUCGCACCUACCGAUUGAAUGGUCCGGUGAAGCCUCGGGAUUGUGGCCAGUUCACUUUAUUGGGAGUUGGCUGCGAGAACUUGUCUAAACCUUAUCAUUUAGAGGAAGGUGAAGUCGUAACA